GUGGGACCGUCCAGACCGGCCAAAAGAGUAAAGAGCUGAGAUGCCGGAGGCAUCACUCUUCCCCCCUCUUCCGAUGUGCUGAGCAACAAACUCUUCCGGACAUUGAUGUGGAGAAAUUAAAGGACCACAGCUGACUGCAGAAACGUCCUCAAUCCCAAGAAGACUUGGUGCUACCCUGUUGGGGGAUGUCCAAAAUAUCAGGAGAGACUAUCGGAGGACGCUGCCAUUAACUGCCGAUCUCACCUGGAUUGCAAUCGGCAUCAGUUGGUCAUCAGGAGUUUUGUGCAGCAGAACAAGAGGAGCCACCAGACGCUGUUUACUGCCCUUGAAGACCAUCUCAUCAGUGACAGGAAAGUUUUGAGGCAGAGCUCGACAGCGGCGGA